AUUGAACGCUGGCGGCAGGCCUAACACAUGCAAGUCGAACGAGUGGCGGACGGGUGAGUAAUGACUGGGAAUCUACCUGCUGGAGGGGGAUAACUACGGGAAACUGUAGCUAAUACCGCAUACCAUAGGAUGUGCCCAUCGGGGAUUAGGUAGGUGGUGGGGUAAAGGCUAACCAAGACGACGAUCUCUAGCUGGUCUGAGAGGAUGACCAGCCACACUGGGACUGAGACACGGCCCAGACUCCUACGGGAGGCAGCAGUGGGGAAUAUUGCGCAAUGGGGGCAAGCCUGACGCAGCCAUGCCGCGUGAAUGAAGAAGGCCUUCGGGUUGUAAAGUACUUUCGGUGGGGAGGCGUUACCUACAGAAGAAUCACCGGCUAACUCCGUGCCAGCAGCCGCGGUAAUUC
rnacentral:rRNA from 1 species